UUAAAUUUUCGCGGCAUUUUUUACAUUUCUAUUUUAAGACAAAUUCAGAUAUGCGCAUGCGCAGUUGUUUUUGUUGCCAAAGUUUGAAUAUCCGCUUUCGAGCCCACAAGGUGAUUCUACAGAGUUUUUAUUAAAUCUUUCCUGUAUACAGCUUUUAUAUUUUAUCAUGUCAUCAUGAAGACCUAUGGAACAAGUGUCUGACCAAACAACAACCUUUCUAAAAUGGGCUCCAAAAAGACAGGGUGGGAAAAGAAAGAAGUUGAAGUUUUCACUAUUAAUAAAUAAAUUUAUUUUUAUUUUA